rnacentral:rRNA from 1 species
UACGAAGGGGGCUAGCGUUGUUCGGAUUUACUGGGCGUAAAGCGCACGUAGGCGGGUCGUUAAGUCGGGGGUGAAAUCCCGGAGCUCAACUCCGGAACUGCCUUUGAUACUGGCGACCUUGAGGCUGGAAGAGGUUAGUGGAAUUCCCAGUGUAGAGGUGAAAUGCGUAGAUAUCGGGAGGAAUACCUAUGGCGAAAGCAGGCUACUGGACCGUCACUGACUCUGAUCUGCGAAAGCUAGGGGAGCAAACAGG